rnacentral:rRNA from 1 species
UACGAAGGGGGCUAGCGUUGCUCGGAAUUACUGGGCGUAAAGGGCGCGUAGGCGGUGUGUCAAGUCAGGCGUGAAAGCCCCGGGCUCAACCUGGGAACCGCGCUUGAGACUGGCACGCUCGAGUCCGGGAGAGGAUGGUGGAAUUCCCGAGUGUAGAGGUGAAAUUCGUAGAUAUUGGGAAGAACACCGAUGGCGAAGGCAGCCAUCUGGACCGGCACUGACGCUGAGGCUCGGAAAGCGAUGGGGAGCCAAACAGG